ensembl:lncRNA
CAGGAAGUGGAGGGUGUUACCGUCAGCCAUACCCACACAGGUUCUCACAUCAAUGCAAAGGGCAGUGACAUGGAAAGCCAAGGAGUUCUGUACCUUUCCCUCUUCACCUCUAAUUCAGACUGUUUCCAUGGGUGUCUCCUGUAUAGGAGACAACACUGUUCAUGCAGAGGACAUAUAAAACACAAACUAACCCAAGCUGCCCAACUCACGUCUCCGUCAGCAAGAAGUGCAGGAGGUCCUCCUUCCAGCCUGCUCCUUUCUGCAGAGCCUAUGCCAGCACCCAGUGACUACUGGAGCACAACAAGAUCAAUGUCAGGACAGCAUUAUUCACUCUAAUAUCAAUGACCUGGAAGAAGCCAUGUAAAAGGAUGGAACCUGCCAAUGGCUCAGUAUGGGAGGAGGUUUGCAAGGAGGAAAUAAAAGCAAGAGUGAAGCCACUCAGAGUGACUUGGCUUGGCACAGCAAUGGGAGCAGUUCAACACAGAGGAAGCAGAGCGCAUCUGGGGAAAAUCAAACAACAACAGCAGCAAAUAUAACACCACAGAUCCCACAAUCUUAUUUGGUUCUGCAUGAUGGACUCAGACAGAGCAGUAAUUUGAGAUACUAUAAAUGUACAUAUUGUUAAUGAAGGAAACUGCAGAGAUCAGUUCUGGAUUGAGAUUGCGUCCCCAGCCUUGGAUCCUUUAACGUCCCAGAAGGCACACAUGAAAAAAGAAAAAUCCCCCUACUUACACUGUGAAGAGGUGCUAACAGCUUUAAAGAAUUACCCACCAAAUAUUAGGUGCAAUUUAAAACUACAUUUAAAGCAGCACGGGUAGUUUAAAAGUCUAUGUGGCCAGCUAAAAGUCAGAGAGAGAAAAUUGCUUGAACACGUGUUGGAUGAAUUUCUGUCUGCGUGGGAGAUAUCGCACCAGUGGGGUAAUAUACCCUCCUUUUUCAAAAAAAAGAGGCAGAUCCUUUAUCUGGUCUUUUGCAUGCUGUGUGAUUCCAAACCUGGGCAAAAGCCUUCAGCUCACUUCCAUUUACUGCUCACAGAACACAACUCUGCUAUCUAAAAAUCGUGGAAGAUUAUUUAUAGUGAAAGACAACCUUAGGCUAAACUAUUAAGUGAGGAUAAUGGAUAUGAGCCACCUAAGGCGUGUGGAGGGCUCCUUAAUGAAUUACUGGGUAAAACAAAGUCAGAUGCGCUCAGGUAGCGUCCAGUUCAAGCAGUGUGCUGUUAGAGGGCCAAGGAAGGCUCGCCUCAUGUCAAGACCUGGAAACUGCACUGCAAAGUGUUCCAGGCAUUGCCCUACACCCACUUUGAGGGCUCUUCAAGGGCUGCUCAGAUCAUCCUCUACAAUAUUUACUCAGCUUAUUGUAUGCUGUAUCAAUUUAAAGGUGCGCUGUAACUUAUUAGAUAGUUAUUAGUUUCCAUUUUUAGCCCUGAUCUAUUUCAUAGACCCUGAUGCCCCCUAUUUUAUGUAAGAAAGGACGUUUUAAUAGAUAUAAUCUAAAUUAGUUGGUAACUCGAUAACUUGUUCCAGUCUGCUUCUCUAAUGAAACCUGCAUUAAUGACCGCCUUCAGUAGGCAAUCUCGAACUUUAAGAAGGCACUUUAAAAUAUUCAUAACAUUUCUGGUGCAGUGUUGUUUGAACUGUAUUUAACAGACAUCUCAAAUGGGCGUUCUGGUGCUUUGCAGGAGUCAUUGUCAAUAAUGACUUUUGCAGCCCUGUCUUUGGGGCCAGGGCAGUAAUUUUGGUCGUGGCCAUGGGGCCAAGUCCCCAUGUGUCCCGUGUACUGGGCCAGAUGUGAGGAAAAAAACAACAAAUUAAGUAAUAGUCCACACUGUAAUUGGGAAUAAACUUCCUGAAGGAUUAGUCAAGGCACAAAUUUCUGAAAGACUUUAAAAAAAUAACUGACAGAAGGUUUACUUGUAACCUAAAAUCUUUCAAAAAGGGAAAAGAGUCAAACUGCAAUAAUUAAUAUUAAAUACUUAGUGUGCAAUUAAUGGUAAUUAUAUAUAUAAAAAAAGCAACCAAUUAAAUGCUGCAACAUAAUGCACCCGAAAUCUUGUAAACGAGUGGCAUUUGUAGCAAAUGCUAAGAGCUCCUUUAAGCCAGUCACUUCUUAAAGGCUUUUGCUUUGGGAAUAAGUGUUACCUUAAUACAUUUACUUAGAUACGAUGAAAGUCAGACUUAACCUUUGCACAGUUGAAAUAACUUUAGCAACAAAACAAUGGAGUAAAUGUGAACCUCUUCUGCAAAUGCAAAUGGUAAUGCAAUCAGUGCUCAGUAAAUAAAUAUAAACACGUUUGAGCCAUAAACUGACCAGUAGCUGUUAUAGGGGUUGUCCUGAUCCCUGCUGAGCAGAGGUGGCAUCCAUAACCAGGUGCUCCUGGGACACUGAAAUGCUAUUCUGCAUCGCCUCUUCUAUCAGCUAUUACAAAAUAAAUCCAAGUCUAACUCAGUGAGAAUUCCCAAGGAGAAGAGAGUGCUAAAUGGAUUUUAAACAGUCCAAACCCCAGUGCAUGAGCAGAAUUUGGGCCAAAAGUCCUGCCAGGGGCCAGUCAGCAAGAGCCCGCUGCCAAGUGCUGAUCCUUAGAUCAACACCUCAUCCGUAAGAGGAGCCCAGUCUGGAAAUCAAAGGAAGCCCACCAGAAAAAAAAAAAAAAAGGUAAAAAAAAAAAGCCAUAAAUCUGUGUUGGCUCCCAGCCCAGUGUGAUCUUACAGUAUGUUUUUGCUGAUGCUGCUUCUGGGAUGGGACAAAGGAAAUGGAUGACACGGAGAUGUCGGUGGCAGGAAGACCACCAGAUUGCCCGUAAAGCAGCAGCAGGCAGCGGGUGUAUGUGACAGGGCUGUCAUGGGGCUACAAGUUCAUCCCUCCAACUAUUUUUCUGCCUUGUGAGGUUUGCAGCAGCUCAGCUGCAACAUCUAAAGUGUGCUGGGAAGGGCUCUGUUGGAGAGGUGCAGUGCUGUGUGCUGGCAACGAGUGGAAGAGCAGCAGGGCUCACUUCAACGAUGGUUCUGUGAAAGCAGAAAGCAUCCCAACAAGUGGAAGGGACCUGAGGUUCUGCCACUGCAAAAUCAACAUCAGAUUCUGCUGAAAUUCCCUUGGGCAGUUACGGAGUGGGUAUUUCUCUGAGAGAUGUCCAAAUUGGAUGCACAGCACACCCAAAAACCAGGACUACAUCCCCCAAAAAUAUGGACCAGUGUUACGUCUCCGCUCCUCUUGUAAGCAGCUCCUCUGCAAACACAUCUGAACUAUUUCACUUACAGGCUUUGGUUUUAGCAAUUCCUUACUUAGUAUUUCUAAGGACUCAUCUGUAGGAUAUUAUAUAAACAUAUAUAUAUAUAAAAUAACAGAUAAUUACAGUAAGUUACAAAUGUGUGUUCUUCAUCAGCAGUACCUGUGAAGGAGGACACAGUUAACCAGUCAAAAAGGGUGACCAAAUCUUGUUUCUUUUCUUAAAGAAAGAGAUCAACCAAACCUGUUAAUCCAUUUGUUGCUUUCUGCUCUUCUUUUUGCGUAGUUGCUUUCAUUUUUUAUUUGCUUUCUUACGCACAAGAGAAUGAAAAUCUGUUUGCGGCUGGAACUUCUACAGCACAUCACGUAUUUUCUUUCUUUUUUCUUAUUAUUUUUUGUCUCCCAUAAUUAUUUUUCCAGAGAGCUGCUUUUCCAAUCAGGUCACCAACUCUGAAAAACAAAACUUCAAGGCAACGUUUUGAAAAAUUGGACCUCACUUUUCUUUCAGUAGAAAGAUUCACAUCAUUCGUGUGCAAGCCAAGGCUCAAAAAUAACAUAAAUCCUUUCAGUGCCGUCUCUCUCUUUGCCUGUGUAACAGAUAUCUCUGCUAACAUUUACUUUUGUAAUUUUUCACAUUGUUCUAGCUCUCAGAGGUUAAUAUUUACCAUUCAUUUUGGUAUUCACAAGCUACAGAGGUAAGCUUGCAAAUAUCUGCCUUGGGAAAAUGAGCAGUUCUGCCAGAAAAUAUGUUCAGGUUUCUUGGUGGAACUGUGGGAGACAACACUCCAUUGACAGCAUUUCACUGCAUUCAUCUGUUCGUGCUUUAAACAUCUGCGCCAUCAAUUCGUACAGUACAACAAUUGGUAUUUUGAAGGGAUAACCAGAUAAUUACAGCAAAUGUUUAUUAGUCUCUUUGAACGGCGAGCAUGCAUUGGGAAAAAAAAGUAAGCAAGCUUAUGAAAGAAUACAGGGAACACAGACAUGUUUGGGAAGUCACUGCUAUUAUAUCCUUACACCAACCAGGCAGUCGUUCUGUGGUUGGCAUCUGCACACACAGACAGUGCCGUGUGCUAGCAAAAUUCAUCAUAAGACAGAGCUGCCUGCACAAGCUGACCCACUGCUUGCAAUAAUAUCAAAUCCUAAAUGAAUUAAUUUGCUUGCUGACCAAGUAGUUUGCCAUAUUAAAGUGCAAGUUUGCAAGACAUGUAUUCUGUUAUCCCAGAUUGCACUCCUGACACUUUACAUUAUGAACAUUUAGUGUUCUUCCUUUGAUAUUUUGAACACUGACUACAAUGAAGCUGUCAGCACAAAGGAAUUUUUUAUUCAAUUUUCAGAUGUAACAAGCAAGGAUCUUACAGGAACUUCAUUAAGACUAUGGAAACAAUAGGGAUUCAAUUAUCUAGCUAUGGAAGACAGAAGAGUAUCUUGCAAUGGGCACAGUAAUCAGAGAUACGAAACAGUUUGUGGGGAGAGGAGAGGAGCAAUUUUACUUGGUUUCUAACAUGUGGAAAACAGUAUUUACUCCAAAUGCUCAUUUAGUCCAAGUGCUCAUAGUGACUAAGAGAGUGAUGAUUUACUCGGAGGCUGCACUAAGCUUGUACUGCUCUUGUCACCAUGAUCUAACGCUGGUAGUACAUUGUGAGCAAGCAGAGAUCAUUGAUUAACACUGCCAGACAGCUGCGUUGGAAUCAUCAAGUCAAUACUCUGUGCUCUUGGUCAAAAAAAAAAAAAAAAAAAGAAGAAGAAGAAGAAAGAAAAACUCCAACACAAAAAUAAUAACGAAAGAAGAGAUUGCUGCAUUUUUAUCAGCACGAGCUAUGUAAUCUAGAUUUAGUCAUCCACAGGGAGGGCAAAGCUCCUACAGGGAGAGCAAAUUUGUUUUGUCACAUCUUUGCAUGUAGCUAAAAUUCGAGCACUAGUACUAAUUCCCCUAAAGCAGGCUGCAGCCCACCCAGCCUCCUGAGGCAAGAGGAGACCAGAUAUGAAUGCAUAUAUGUAUAUAUAUUUACAGACCACAUGAAACUAAAUUUAAUAAACAUUCCAGGAAGGAACGGACUUGGCAGAAUAGCCAGACAAUGAAAUAAAGUUUUUUUACUGCAUGGUUGUGUUUUAAGACCUUGCAGAAAAUGAACUCCUCAGCGAUUGCAUUCUGAUGACUCUGGGAAUGCUUUUCAGUGUGCCAUAUUGUAUCACUUUCCACUGGACAGUGAUUGUUUUAAAGCCACAACAUAAGACACAAAUAUUUGAUUAAAAUGAAUUCCACCCUAAAAGUCUGGGUGUUCUUUUUUUAGGGAUUCAGAUGCAAAAAAUGAGCUGACUGUGGUCUGCUGAGGUCCCAGCAGUAUUGUCUGAUGCAAAAGUUCAGCUGUACAGGGAUUCAUUUGGAGUACUCACCGCCACUGAAAAUAGUAAUAAACAGUGUUUUGCAAUGGUCUUUGCAUUUCUUUAUCUGUCCUUAUUGUGUCUGAGAUGCAGAGAUGAGAACACUGCUUUAUCUCAUCUGCUUCAUCAGAGCUGCAAUUGGAGCAUAUACAAGCAAUAGUGUUUUAAAGUGCCACUAGAAUUGUAGCUCUAUCCAGGUUACACGAUAAAAUAACAAAUGAGAGAAAGAAUACUGGAGGUCGUGGAAAUACGGACCUAUAAAGAUACACCUCGGAUUCCCAUGCAUACUCAAGUAACAAGGUAGGACUGCAGGGAACAAGUUGAUGGCUUUCUCCGUGCAGCACUGCAGACAAUGAUGCUUUUUCACUCAAAUUCAUUUGCUUAUGGGGAACCAGGGAAAUUUUGACGAGAACUGGCCAAAGCUUAAUCUUUUCAGUCUAUAAAAAAUUUAAACAGUUUGCUCCCAUUUCAUAAAUGUUGACAUUUCCCACAGAGGGAGAAAAUAUCAUAUCAGAAUGUUUCCUUAAAAAGAAAUAGGAAAGGGCCCUGCGAUGGGUCUGCGAAGCUUGUUGAAUACCCAAUCUGCCAGGAGCCAACAGCAUGGGGUCUGCUUGACCAGCGGCUGGAGCACUCCUGGGAGCUGAGGCCUCACUUCAAAAGGGUUCAGCACAGCUCACAGCAGCCCCACACUGGCAGAGGAAGAGCUGGGUGAUGUGGAGGGGCCUCUAAAAGCUGUAACCCCUGGGCUCGGUCUCUCUGGCAAUCUAUGAGGUAAGCAAGCUGCUGACUUAAGUACAAAGUGAUCUUCUCUCUGGGCAUCAAUGGGUGCUUCUGCAAAGUGUUUCAGCUUCAAGGAGUCUUUAUGGAUAAAAUAAAUAUAAAAAUAAAAUAAAAAAAAGCAAAGCAUUUCUCCUUGCCGUUUCAUUAGAGGCUGCUAAAACCCACAAGCACCACGUCAAGAAGCAGAGCUGUGGGAGGUGCCAUGCCUGCCUUUACACUGGGAUUGAUCUCACGUACAGCUGGGAUUAGCAGUGGGCUGAGUCAUAUUCCAGUCAUUUCCUUCCAGAGAAAAGGGAAUAAAGAACGGGCCUGACACUGAGUUGUGGUACUCCUACCCCAUGUUUUUGAUUGCGUGUGAGGUCCUGGUGCUUCUACAUGGCCAAGGUCAAAGGGAAAGCCCACAAAGCUCCACUGGGUUGCAGAAGUGACCUCUGUGGAGUUGAGGUCUGGAUGUCUAAAUAGGAUGGGAUUAGCUAUUCCACAGCACACCUGAUGUAAUGCAGCUGAGCAGGAGAACCAGAACAGUAGCUUUUUCUUCUGCCAUUUAACAUACCUCAUAACCCUGAGGACAUUGUCUUAACCAAAGGCUUGAACUCUGGAUGAAUUGUAAUUCUCACAGCAUCGAAACCCAGGAGAGUGCAAUGCUUGCCAGAAAGAUCCUGAAGGGGAGAAGAAAAAAAAAAUGAACAAACUUGAUAAUUAUGGUUAAAAAAAAGAGAGAGAGAGAGAGAAUAUGCACAUCCAUAGUUUUGCUAAGUUUGGGGUUGACGAGAAGAAUCAAAGUGGUAGCCUGGAGAGAAAAUCUGUAUUUGAGGUGUGAGGUUAACUGACAAAAAAAAUCAAACUUAAGACUGAAGUGCAUAACUUAAAGAACAACUAAAACCUACAAGGAACCUUUCAAGAAAAAAAGCAUCAGAUUACAUUUUAUGACCAAGAGGCAAAGCUAAGAAAAAUAUUUCAAACAGAAGAGCUGUUAUUUUUGUAGCUUUGAAACAAUACGUAACUAGCACAGAAGAUAAUACGAUACAAGACAGGUAAUCCAAUCAUUUAAGAGUUUACGGCUGCAGUCUUCUCCACAAGAGAGAUUCGACUGUGCUUCGUCUCUUUCCAUAAAUGAAUAAAUUCGGGAAAUCGUAAGCACGGGUAUUCGGAUUUGUUUUCUCUUUCGAGGCUUGAAAAAUCAGAGCCAGUGGCCUUGAGUGCUGCAGGAGACCUUCCACAGUGAGCCUGUAUUGCAUCCACACACAAAGCAAAAUUAAUCCGAACGGCACUGCUCCCCCAGCACGCUUUCUUUAAUAAUUUGAUUUCAUCAUCAAGUUUAAUUGCAGAUUUCAAAGUUCUUUACCUACGCAAUCCUGAGCUGAUACCGGAG